AGCUUUUAACAACGGAUCUCUUGGUUCUGGCAUCGAUGAAGAACGCAGCGAAAUGCGAUAAGUAAUGUGAAUUGCAGAAUUCAGUGAAUCAUCGAAUCUUUGAACGCACAUUGCGCCCCUUGGUAUUCCGGGGGGCAUGCCCGUUCGAGCGUC
rnacentral:rRNA from 1 species